rnacentral:rRNA from 1 species
UGGGAACCUUCCCUAUGGUUCGGAAUAGCCCAGGGAAACUUGGGGUAAUACCGAAUAAGCCCCUCGGGGGAAAGAUUUAUCGCCAUUGGAUGGGCCCGCGUCGGAUUAGCUAGUUGGUGGGGUAACGGCCCACCAAGGCGACGAUCCGUAGCUGGUCUGAGAGGAUGAUCAGCCACACUGGGACUGAGACACGGCCCAGACUCCUACGGGAGGCAG